rnacentral:misc_RNA from 1 species
AAGUCGUAACAAGGUUUCCGUAGGUGAACCUGCGGAAGGAUCAUUAACACGUAUCCAACGUUAAACAACCCGUGAACCUUCAUGUUUCGUGUCUUACUUUUUAACUUCGAGGGCGUCUGGUAACUCACGUGAACAGAUUGACUCAGACAUUCUUGAAGAAAAAGGGUAAGAUGCUUGUGCAUUAGGUGAGGGCGUCUAACGCUUGUGAGUGGGCAACUACAAGCAAGUGAAGGACAAUUUCUUGACUGACAUCGUUGGAUCGAGCCUGCCGUUAAGUGGGUGAGAUUCCUGUUGGCCUUGGAAAUCGGUGCAGCCACACGGAUAAUCCCCCCUUUCUAUUCACCACCCCCUCCUACGCAAACGCUCGCCGGCAUGGUCCCGCUUGAGCAUUCAAAAAACCGAACAACUGUUAACAAUGGAUAUCUUGGUUCUC